CGUGCCGUACCAGUUUGACGAUAGCCUGAAGGCUGUGUCGUGAUAGAUCUUGUAAAUCAACGAGGGCGUCUUGACAAACUCGUAGAAAAAUGCAUUACGUGCGCAAUGCUGUGCGGCCGUCAGUAGCAUUCGCACGUUCAGCAAGCUAUCACGUCGCAAAGAUAAGUCAACCCGACUGCAGUGCACUGCUUAAACCUUCAGGAAGCUUUCAGCAGCUGAAUGCUCAGAAGCAGUCGAAAAACAACGCUUUCAUGGCUGGCGGCUCCCUCUUUGGUAUAGCCAGCGGUGUCGCAGUCUAUUUGAUGGGUUUCAUCGACUUCGUCGAUCCUCCGAAAAUCCCCAAAUAGACAAAACAAUUUCUUUCAUCUUAUUAUGAUGCUCCGCAGACAUUUCUGUCGGUCGAAUAGGGGCUAUAAAAUGUGCCAUCAUGGAAUAUACAGCUUAUUAUUGUUUGGCGCUAUUCAAAUAAGGAUGAGAAGGAGUUCUGAGGAGUGAGGAACUGGUAAAGUAGUCGGUUUUAAAAUAAAUAUGCACAUCCUGUUUCAAUCCAAAGAGUUA